ACGAUUAGAUUAAAUCAAAAAUGAUUAUGCCCAAUGUCUUGGUAACAUAAUCCUCUCCCUUGAUCAUCGAUUCCUAAUGUCUUAGGUAAUCUAUGAUCAAUUGAGGAUUACAAACUUUAAUCUAUAAAAUAUCAAUUAACAAUCCGAAAUGUCUUAAGUGAAAGUUAAUCGAUCAAUUAUUCCUAGAUCGAUGAUUCAUUCCUAUCGUCAUAGUAAAAUAAAUCAUUGAAUUCAUCAUAUAAGUAGCUAAUUCAUAUAAAGCAUUAAGCAUAAGGAAUAAUCAAAGAAACUAACUUCGUAAUUCAUAUAUCAAUUCAAAUGAGAAUCACAUGCUUCAAGAGAAAUAGAAAUCAGAAUCCCCUAAGGACCAAUCAUAGGAAUUUAGUUACACAUACUGAAAUAAAAAUGAAACAAUGAAGCUAAAACCAUAGAAUAGGCGUGAUGUGGGAGCUGCUUGUUUCUUUCAAUCCUCCACCACUAUGCUUCAAUGUUCUUUGUCCUGUAGCGCCUCCAGCCUCUCUGUUUUCGUCCGUGAUGCGUGCCUCCUAAAUCCCCACUGUUCCUGUGCGUGAUGUAUCUCCCGCAGCACUCCCCUUCUCAUUGUUGUGUUGCCUUUAAUAUAUUUCCAACCAAUGAAACCUAAACACCUCACUUUUUGAUCCGGGUCAACAAGACUUAAAGCCCAUCAUUCCUUUUAAUUUGUCCAUGAUAUUAAAAUAGUGUACUCCACUUUGGUCAAACACAAUAUGUCAAUAGCUUCAACAAAUAAAAACUACAUAAAAUAUCAUAUUAUUCGAUAAAAUGCUUAAUUGACUCGGUAAAUAAAAAAUCACAAUUUAUUUAAAAUGACUCUAAAUUAAACACUAAAUUAAUAAAAUGAUAUUAAAACUUCAUUAAAAAGACUCUAAAAAUAGCGACUGNNN
rnacentral:lncRNA from 1 species